GCGAACGGGUGAGUUAAAGCAUCGGAACGUAUCCUAUAGUGGGGGAUAACCUAGACGAAAGCUAGCUAAUACCGCAUACGCCCUGAGGGGGAAAGUGGGGGACUCGCAAGAGCCUUACGCUAUUUGAGCGGCCGAUGUCGGAUUAGCUAGUUGGUGAGGUAAAGGCUUACCAAGGCGACGAUCCGUAGCUGGUUUGAGAGAACGACCAGCCACACUGGGACUGAGACACGGCCCAGACUCCUACGGGAGGCAGCAGUGGGGAAUUUUGGACAAUGGGGGCAACCCUGAUCCAGCCAUGCCGCGUGAGUGAAGAAGGCCUUCGGGUUGUAAAGCUCUUUCAGCGGGGACAAAACGGCAUCCGGAAUAACGGGUGUUAAUGAUGGUACCCGAAGAAGAAGCACCGGCUAACUACGUGCCAGCAGCCGCGGUAAUACGUAGGGUGCGAGCGUUAAUCGGAAUUACUGGGCGUAAAGCGUGCGCCAGGUGGUUCCGUAAGUCAGAUGUGAAAGCCCCGGGCUCAACCUGGGAAUGGCAUUUGGGACUGCAAGGCUCGAGUGCGGCAAGGAGACUGGGAAUUUCCUGGUGUAGCAGUUGAAAUG
rnacentral:rRNA from 1 species